GCCCAAGUGGCUGGAUUUAAAGCUGCAAUCAUCUAUGACAAUGAAGAUGGUGGCUUAAUUGCGAUGGCAGGGAGCUCGGCUGGCAUUAAAAUACAUGCUGUAUUUGUUACUAAAACAUCUGGCGAGACAUUGAAGAAGUACGCAGGCUUGGCUAACGUUGAGAUAUGGAUAGUUCCAAGCUUUGAAAACUCUGCAUGGUCCAUCAUGGCUAUCUCCUUUAUUUCUCUUCUUG
rnacentral:misc_RNA from 1 species